UCAAAAUUGUCUUGUUUGCCUCCUCCGGGCCUCCCAUGUAUACAAUAUAACCCCAAUUAACUCUAUAUAUACAAUAUAACCCUAGACGACGUUUCUUUCCUUAACGAUUUGUUUAGAAGCCUUUCAUCAUCAUUCUUUCACCAAGUCAGUCGGAUCCCAUGGAUUUUUAAAACAGAUAUCAUUUAAGCCCUGGUAUGAAUUCUCCUCGCCCCUGGGUUCCGACUUUACAUAAUAUGUUACGCAAAUUGCAUCCUGAGUCAUCAUCAGCACCUUUUCAAGAAAGGUAUAGGAACGACCCAAUAUAUUGUACACCCGAGGGACUAAGAAUUAAAGCUUUGAAUAAUCAGUUUUCAGAUCGAUCUGCAUUUGAACAGUUAAUUAGCCUGAGUAAUUUUGGGGAGAAUCAUUAUCAUAUGCUUUUGUGUUAAGAUUCUUAAUUCAACCUGCUCUUUUUAUUUAUUUGGACUAAUCUCACAUGAAAUAUAUUACAUGAUGAUCAAAUUGCAUAUGUGGGACUCCCACUUGACCCGGGACAUAGCUUGAUGUGCAUUUACGGUCACAUUAAUAUUAAUAUUUCAGGUGAUUAUUU